rnacentral:tRNA from 3 species
GUUAUAUUAGCUUAAUUGGUGAAGCAUUCGUUUUGUAAUCGAAAGAUUUAAGGUUCAAGUCCUUAAUAUAACA